GACGAACGCUGGCGGCGUGCUUAACACAUGCAAGUCGAACGGAAAGGCCCUUCGGGGUCCUCGAGUGGCGAACGGGGGGGUAACACGUGGGUGAUCUGCCCUGCACUUUGGGAUAAGCCUGGGAAACUGGGUCUAAUACCGAAUAGGACCACGCGCUUCACGGUGUGUGGGGGAAAGCGUUUGCGGUGUGGGAUGGGCCCGCGGCCUAUCAGCUUGUUGGUGGGGUAAUGGCCUACCAAGGCGACGACGGGUAGCCGGCCUGAGAGGGUGACCGGCCACACUGGGACUGAGAUACGGCCCAGACUCCUACGGGAGGCAGGGGUGGAGAAUAUUACACAAUGGGCGCAAGCCUGAUGCAGCGACGCCGCGUGAGGGAUGACGGGCUUCGGGUUGUGAACCACUUUCAAUAGAGACGAAGCGCAAGUGACGGUACCUAUAGAAGAAGCACCGGCUAACUACGUG
rnacentral:rRNA from 1 species